UAACCUGCCUCACGACAGGGGGAGUAGCAGCUGGAAACGGGCUGGUAAUACCGACAUAAGACCACGGCAUCGCAUGAUGGCAGUGGUAAAAAGAUUUAUCGGUGUGAGAUGGAUCCGCGUCUGAUUAGCCAGUUGGCGGGUAACGGCCCACCAAGGCGACGAUCAGUAGCCGGCCUGAGAGGGUGAACGGCCACAUUGGGACUGAGACACGGCCCAAACUCCUACGGGAGGCAGCAGUGGGGAAUAUUGCACAAUGGGCGCAAGCCUGAUGCAGCAACGCCCGCGUGAGUGAAGAAGUAUUUCGGUAUGUAAAGCUCUAUCGGCAGGGAAGAAAGGCCCUAUAAGGGAGAUGACGGUACCUGACUAAGAAGCCCCGGCUAACUACGUGCCAGCCGCCGC
rnacentral:rRNA from 1 species